GUGCUAGGUGGUGGUGUUGUUACUGGAAUUGUCAUCUGGAAGAAGAAGUCUGGCUUUAAACCUGUUUCCCAUUCGCCAGUGAGCUCCUAUGAAGAAGAUUCAUCCUCCACCAACUCUUAAAGUGAUCUCUACUGAACUGAAAUAAUAAUUGGCCGAUUCCACAGUCCCAAACUCUGUCCCUAUUGUGCCGAAUUAAAAAAAAAAAAAAUUCAUAGUUCUUAAUAACAUGACUUUGACAUUACCUGACUUAAAUAACUUACAAAUUGGCUGAACGUUACUUAUAAAUUGGCAUUAUGUUUUUACGAUUAUAUUUAAAUUACCUACAAUUCCACUUCAGUUGUCCCCACUCAUUCAAAAAAGUCACUAUGGCUGCAUUCACAUUACAAGUCACACUGUUCAAUGUUCAUCAUUUGGUCAGAUUGGAUUUGCAUGUCUUAAUGGUUCAAUCCGGGCCCCGGAUUGUCCCUCUACAUAAUCUCUAUCAAAUAUUAUAAUAGAACAUAAAUUUGUAGAUUUAUGAUUUGCAAAUCACAAAUUACUACACCCAACGAAUUUAAUUAUAAAAUAUAUAAAAAUAUAAUUUAAAACCUAAUAUAAAAGCAGGGGGUUGGGGUCAUUUUAUGGCAUAACCCUGGCAUGAUUUGGAGUGUUCACUUUGUCCGUGUUGGCCUCAAAAUCCCAUAGUGCCUUGCACAUUAGCUUUAGUGUUUAGCUUGCAACUUAAAUGGGAAAGAAAAUUCUUUAUGCAUAUUGAUGCUUUGAGCAUAUUUUUUUUUUUGUGUGUGUGUGAAUGUAUUAUUUUUCCCUGAGUGUGAGUGUGUAGUGUUGUAAGUUUUUUUUUUUGUAUCUGUUCCAGCAAACUUUUUUUAUUAUUGUUUCCAAAUUAUUUAUUUCAGUGGACAAAAAUAUGUUCGUUAUUUUAUUUUAAGUGUAUGAUCUUUAUUUGGUUACCUUGUGGAACGGUGUUCCGGGAAAUUCAGUGUCCCGAGGUUCCCCCUGUCGCGCGCAGUGUGUGCGCGCCUAUAUAAAUCAUGACGUCACUCACUACCUAAUGCUGAAAAGGCAAACGAGGAUUUUAACAGUUUUUCUCUUAUUUUAAAGUGUUUUUACAAACUUUGUGAAUUAAACAGAUAACCUAUACAAAAUAA